rnacentral:rRNA from 1 species
GGCCAGCAGCCGCGGUAAUACGGAGGGGGCUAGCGUUGUUCGGAAUCACUGGGCGUAAAGCGCGCGUAGGCGGUCCACAUAGUCAGGCGUGAAAGCCCCGGGCUUAACCUGGGAACUGCGCUUGAUACUGGUGGGCUAGAGUCCGGGAGAGGGUAGUGGAAUUCCCAGUGUAGAGGUGAAAUUCGUAGAUAUUGGGAAGAACACCAGUGGCGAAGGCGGCUUUCUGGUCCGUUACUGACGCUGAGGCGCGAAAGCGUGGGGAGCAAACAGGAUUAGAUA